rnacentral:rRNA from 1 species
UACGGAGGGUGCGAGCGUUGUCCGGAAUCAUUGGGCGUAAAGGGCGCGUAGGUGGCUUCUUAAGCGUGCGGUGAAAGCCUGGGGCUCAACCCCGGGUCGGCCGUGCGAACUGGGGGGCUGGAGCACGGUAGAGGCAGGCGGAAUUCCGGGUGUAGCGGUGGAAUGCGUAGAGAUCCGGAAGAACACCAGUGGCGAAGGCGGCCCGCUGGGCAGUGGCUGACGCUGAGGCGCGACAGCGUGGGGAGCAAACAGG